GCCCUUGUAGCUCAAAGGAUAGAGUGUGUGAUUCCGGUUCACAAGGUUGGAGGUUCGAGUCCUCUCAAGGGCG
rnacentral:tRNA from 1 species